UGGAAGUAAAAGUCGUAACAAGGUCUCCGUUGGUGAACCAGCGGAGGGAUCAUUACCGAGUUUACAACUCCCAAACCCAAUGUGAACGUUACCAAACUGUUGCCUCGGCGGGGUCACGCCCCGGGUGCGUAAAAGCCCCGGAACCAGGCGCCCGCCGGAGGAACCAACCAAACUCUUUCUGUAGUCCCCUCGCGGACGUUAUUUCUUACAGCUCUGAGCAAAAAUUCAAAAUGAAUCAAAACUUUCAACAACGGAUCUCUUGGUUCUGGCAUCGAUGAAGAACGCAGCGAAAUGCGAUAAGUAAUGUGAAUUGCAGAAUUCAGUGAAUCAUCGAAUCUUUGAACGCACAUUGCGCCCGCCAGUAUUCUGGCGGGCAUGCCUGUCCGAGCGUCAUUUCAACCCUCGAACCCCUCCGGGGGAUCGGCGUUGGGGAUCGGGACCCCUCACCGGGUGCCGGCCCUGAAAUACAGUGGCGGUCUCGCCGCAGCCUCUCCUGCGCAGUAGUUUGCACAACUCGCACCGGGAGCGCGGCGCGUCCACGUCCGUAAAACACCCAACUUUCUGAAAUGUUGACCUCGGAUCAGGUAGGAAUACCCGCUGAACUUAAGCAUAUCAAUAAGCGGAGGA
rnacentral:rRNA from 1 species